rnacentral:hammerhead_ribozyme from 1 species
AUCUAGCUGACGAUUCCCCAAAUAGGACGAAAUGCGCAUCCUGGAU